CAGGUGAAGAAACUGAUGACAUUGGAGGCUCGGAUCCUUGACCAAACUGGUCUGGGCAGCAGGGGCGGAGCUAGGCCCCUUAUAACAAGUGGGGCAAUGAAUACCAUUGUUGAUUAUGAAGUUGGUUGAUGCUGUCAGGAAAGAGUUCAAGUUGCUAAUCCCUACAGACCUCAAGGAUAUUAUUGGUCUUUUGGUUUUCUUACAUAGACUAUGCUAAAUUUGUUUUGUUUGAUGAUAUGGAUAUGAUAUGGAUUUUGUAAUGUUGAUGGAUUUGGUUUGGUUUUGCUUUUACUA